UCUCAAGAAUAUGGAUCAACCAAGUUGGCAGAACCCUUUUGUGAAAUAAAGUGUGACCUAAAAUGUAUCGGAAAUCGGUUGAGAGAUGAUUUUGAGAAGUGUGUGAAAAAAUGCCAAAGUGAAUGCUAGCAAAAUCAUCCUUAACACAUGCCAUGGUUUGUGCAUGUCGUGGAUACAUAUAUUGCUUUGUGUUCUGAGAGUUUAAAUAAUAUUAAAUAAGUUAUUCAUAUAUAUUGUGAAACUCUACGUGAGAAAACGUAUCACGAAACCUAAAUAAAUAUUUUAACUCUUAAUGCCUAUUUUCUAUUAUUUA